rnacentral:rRNA from 1 species
GCAAGCAGCCAUAUCACCCUGCAGCUCUCAAAUGGCAGCCCACUGAAGCUCAGCAGGGUUGAGCCUGGUCAGUACCAGGAUGGGAGACUUCCUGGGAAGUGACAGUUGCUGCUGGAA